GUCCUCCCUCCCCAACCCCCAUCUGCGCCCAUCCCGGUCCCACUUCCCCAUUCCCGACAGUGCCCCGGGGAGGUGCCCCGGGGAGGUACCCCGGGAAGGAAGGGCAGUGGGAGGCGCCCCUGGAGGCGCGCCGCCGCCGCCAGGCAGCCGGGGCUCAGUCCCACACGGACCCCGGCUCCGCGCCGUCGACGGCGAGAGGGGCUGCGGGCCCCUCCCCCACUCACCGGCCGCAGCGGCGCUCCACGUCUUCGGAGGCGGGCCCGACGGCCGGCGCCACGGGGAGGCAGAGCCGCGGACGCUGGAGGCGGGGGGCGGGCCGAGGCCUGCAGGGAGGGCGCGCCGGGCGCUGGGUGUGGUGGGCCUGGCGGGGCCCAGACUCCAGGGUGCGCCGGCUGGGCCGGACCACGUCGGGACAGGCGGGGCCCAGCACUGCGUCGCCCUGAGCGGGGCGGGGCCUAGUGGGGAGUCCCUCCAAGGCUGGGGCAGGAACGGCUCCGGAGAAAAGUAUCCGACUUUCCUCCAGUGACACUGUCUUCAAACCCAGCCGGGUCAGACCCGGCCCCAGAGUUCCAUCUUGAGCGCCCGAUGCCUGCGACCAUCUCUAAUACCAAAUACAGCAAAACCUUGGAUUGCAAAUAACGUAUCUUGUGAGUGUGGCACAAGACAAGCAUUUGAACUUGAUAAAUGAGCAAUGUCUUGUAAUAGGAGUAGGACGUGAUGCCGAACGUCACAUGAUCACAACUGAGCCAAUGGUCCUUGAGAUUUGCUUUGAUCCAGGAAUGCUUUGGAUUCUAAGCAUGUUUCCGGAACAAAUUACGCUUGCAAACCAAGGUUUUGCUGCAUGUGCGUGCCGGGGUCAGAUCCACCCACAGCCACUGCCUGAAUGCGGAGAGUGAACACCUUAAAAUGGGACUCUGUGAUCUCAGAGUUGGAUCCAAAAGCUGCCACAACCGUUACUGCUUCUUGGCACCCAGGAAGCUCAAGAAGACACUGGGACUUGCACAAAGAAACCCACCACCUUCCUCUCCAGUGGGAGGGCCAGGAGCCCUAGGAAGAUGGUUUCCUAAUUUCCACUACCUGACUUCAAGUGAGCGCGUCUAACUAAAGAGCCCGGUGUUAUCUCUAGGCUUCCAACCACUAGACCUAGAACAUCUUCACGUAAACCUUGCCCAUUUCUUAUGGAGUUUCUUCCUAGACAUUUACCUUUCUCAUUACGUGUGUAAAUGAGAACUUUUCUUCCGGUAUAGCUUUGUUUGCUGUUGCCUAUCAUAUGAACGUUAGUUUUUGUAUAAUAGUUUUAUGACCCAAAUAAAAUCUUUUAGAGUUUAUAGUAGUUUAGUUCU
rnacentral:lncRNA from 1 species